UCCGUAGUGAACAUGCGGAGGGAUCAUUACCGAAUUUACAACUCCCAAACCCCUGUGAACAUACCUUAAUGUUGCCUCGGCGGAUCAGCCCGCGCCCCGUAAAACGGGACAGGCCCGACCAGAGGACCCAAACUCUAAUGUUUCUUAUUGUAACUUCUGAGUAAAACAAACAAAUAAGUCAAACUUUCAACAACGGAUCUCUUGGUUCUGGCAUCGAUGAAGAACGCAGCAAAAUGCGAUAAGUAAUGUGAAUUGCGGAAUUCAGUGAAUCAUCGAAUCUUUGAACGCACAUUGCGCCCGCUGGUAUUCCGGCGGGCAUGCCUGUUCGAGCGUCAUUUCAACCCUCAAGCCCCCGGGUUUGGUGUUGGGGAUCGGCUCUGGCCUUCUGGGCGGUGCCGCCCCCGAAAUACAUUGGCGGUCUGGCUGCAGCCUCCAUUGCGUAGUAGCUAACACCUGGAGGCUUUUCGCGGCGCGGCCAUGCCGUAAAACCCCAACUUCUGAAUGUUGACCUCGGAUCAGGUA
rnacentral:rRNA from 1 species